AUGAUCAUGUCCCCUGUCCACCUGCCCCAGCCACUCUCUCUUUCCCACCUACAGCAGCAGAAAGGGCUGGUGAGAAGGGUGGAUUACAGGCCCGGUUCUGCCACUGACGAGCCCUAUGAAUGUGGCCUACACCCCCUUAGCGUCACUGGGUCUCAGUUUCCCUAUCUGUAUGUUGGGAGCAACAUACAGAAGCUCAAAAGAGAAAUGUCUGUGAAAAGGUUAUGAACAGGAGAGAGGAUGGAAACCAAGCUGCUAGAUCACGUCCACAGACCCUGGAGUGGGGCCACAUGCUUGGUUUGUCAAAUUGCAGACGCCGGCCGGGCGCGAUGGCUCACACCUAUAAUCCCAGCACUUUGGGAGGCUGAGGCGGACAGAUCACCUGAGGUCGAGAGUUUGAGACCAGCCUGACCAACAUGGAGAAACCCCGUCUCUAAUAAAAAUACAAAAUUAGCCGGGCAUGGUGGCACAUGCCUAUAAUCCCAGCUACUUGGGAAGGCUGAGGCAGGAGAAUCGCUUGAAUCUGGGAGACGGAGGUUGCGGUGAGCCUAGAUUGUGCCAUUGUACUCCAGCCUGGGCAACAUGAGUGAAACUCCGUCUCAAAAAAAAAAAAAAAAUUGCAGAUGCCAUCCCAUCCAGGCCUUUGCUUUCACUGAUGAAGAAACUGAGAUACAGAGAGGGCAGGGCACCUGUUCAGAGUUUAUGAAGUGCCCCCCCACCAUUAUCUUUCUUGAUCAUAUAAGAAUCUGGUGAGGCAAGGUGGGGCGUGAUCUUUAUCUCCAUUUUAUCAUUUUAUUUAAGCGGGAACAGGACUGCUUAGUGGCUGCGGGCCUUGCCCAAGAUCUCCAAAUACUGGGGAACCCCAGGGAGGCCCUGGGGGGUGGCAGUGUUCCUGUUUCAGCCCCACCCUGCUUCCCCCUCCCAGGAUAUCCAGGAGGUGCAGGGCUACGUGCUCAUCGCUCACAACCAAGUGAGGCAGGUCCCACUGCAGAGGCUGCGGAUUGUGCGAGGCACCCAGCUCUUUGAGGACAACUAUGCCCUGGCCGUGCUAGACAAUGGAGACCCGCUGAACAAUACCACCCCUGUCACAGGGGCCUCCCCAGGAGGCCUGCGGGAGCUGCAGCUUCGAAGCCUCACAGAGAUCUUGAAAGGAGGGGUCUUGAUCGAGCGGAACCCCCAGCUCUGCUACCAGGACACGAUUUUGUGGAAGGACAUCUUCCACAAGAACAACCAGCUGGCUGUCACACUGAUAGACACCAACCGCUCUCGGGCCUGCCACCCCUGUUCUUCGGUGUGUAAGGGCUCCCGCUGCUGGGGAGAGAGUUCUGAGGAUUGUCAGAGCCUGACGCGCACUGUCUGUGCCGGUGGCUGUGCCCGCUGCAAGGGGCCACUGCCCACUGACUGCUGCCAUGAGCAGUGUGCUGCCGGCUGCACGGGCCCCAAGCACUCUGACUGCCUGGCCUGCCUCCACUUCAACCACAGUGGCAUCUGUGAGCUGCACUGCCCAGCCCUGGUCACCUACAACACAGACACCUUUGAGUCCAUGCCCAAUCCCGAGGGCCGAUAUACAUUCGGCGCCAGCUGUGUGACUGCCUGUCCCUACAACUACCUUUCUACGGACGUGGGAUCCUGCACCCUCGUCUGCCCCCUGCACAACCAAGAGGUGACAGCAGAGGACGGAACACAGCGGUGUGAGAAGUGCAGCAAGCCCUGUGCCCGAGUGUGCUAUGGUCUGGGCAUGGAGCACUUGCGAGAGGUGAGGGCAGUCACCAGUGCCAAUAUCCAGGAGUUUGCUGGCUGCAAGAAGAUCUUUGGGAGCCUGGCAUUUCUGCCGGAGAGCUUUGAUGGGGACCCAGCCUCCAACACCGCCCCGCUCCAGCCAGAGCAGCUCCGAGUGUUUGAGACUCUGGAAGAGAUCACAGGUUACCUAUACAUCUCAGCAUGGCCAGACAGCCUGCCUGACCUCAGCGUCUUCCAGAACCUGCAAGUAAUCCGGGGACGAAUUCUGCACAAUGGCGCCUACUCGCUGACCCUGCAAGGGCUGGGCAUCAGCUGGCUGGGGCUGCGCUCGCUGCGGGAACUGGGCAGUGGACUGGCCCUCAUCCACCAUAACACCCGCCUCUGCUUCGUGCACACGGUGCCCUGGGACCAGCUCUUCCGGAACCCGCACCAAGCUCUGCUCCACACUGCCAACCGGCCAGAGGACGAGUGUGGUAAGACAGGGAGCCCAGUGUGUGCGCUCCCCAUCUGCCAGCACACAGCAGUGCCCAGGGGGCCCUGGCAGCAGCGUUCUUGGACUUGUGCAGACUGCCCAUCCCUGUGCACCCUUCUUGACUCAGCACAGCUCUGGCUGGCUUGGCCUCUUGGCAUGGCUUCUCUAGCUGGGUCCUACCUGCCUUGGCAUCCUUCCCUCCCCCUCUGUUUCUGAAAUCUCAGAACUCUUCCUUUCCCUACAUCGGCCCCACCUGUCCCCACCCCUCCAGCCCACAGCCAUGCCCACAGCCAGUUCCCUGGUUCACUUGGACCUGGGGCCUCCCCUAAAAGUCCCCUGCGGUCCCUUCCUCCUCACUGCAGUGGGCGAGGGCCUGGCCUGCCACCAGCUGUGCGCCCGAGGGCACUGCUGGGGUCCAGGGCCCACCCAGUGUGUCAACUGCAGCCAGUUCCUUCGGGGCCAGGAGUGCGUGGAGGAAUGCCGAGUACUGCAGGGGUAUGAGGGGCGGAGGAGAGGGGUGGCUGGAGGGGUGCAUGGGGCUCCUCUCAGACCCCCUCACCACUGUCCCUUCUCUCAGGCUCCCCAGGGAGUAUGUGAAUGCCAGGUACUGUUUGCCGUGCCACCCUGAGUGUCAGCCCCAGAAUGGCUCAGUGACCUGUUUUGGACCGGAGGCUGACCAGUGUGUGGCCUGUGCCCACUAUAAGGACCCUCCCUUCUGCGUGGCCCGCUGCCCCAGCGGUGUGAAACCUGACCUCUCCUACAUGCCCAUCUGGAAGUUUCCAGAUGAGGAGGGCACGUGCCAGCCUUGCCCCAUCAACUGCACCCACUCCUGUGUGGACCUGGAUGACAAGGGCUGCCCCGCCGAGCAGAGAGCCAGCCCUCUGACGUCCAUCAUCUCUGCGGUGGUGGGCAUUCUGCUGGUCGUGGUCUUGGGGGUGGUCUUUGGGAUCCUCAUCAAGCGACGGCAGCAGAAGAUCCGGAAGUACACGAUGCGGAGGCUGCUGCAGGAAACGGAGGUGAGGCGGGGUGAAGGCCUCCCAGCCCGCGUGGGGUCUGCACUGGCCCCCGGCAUUGACCCACCACCCCCUCACCCCAGCUGGUGGAGCCGCUGACACCUAGCGGAGCGAUGCCCAACCAGGCGCAGAUGCGUAUCCUGAAAGAGACGGAGCUGAGGAAGGUGAAGGUGCUUGGAUCUGGCGCUUUUGGCACAGUCUACAAGGGCAUCUGGAUCCCUGAUGGGGAAAAUGUGAAAAUUCCAGUGGCCAUCAAAGUGUUGAGGGAAAACACAUCCCCCAAAGCCAACAAAGAAAUCUUAGACGAAGCAUACGUGAUGGCUGGUGUGGGCUCCCCAUAUGUCUCCCGCCUCCUGGGCAUCUGCCUGACAUCCACGGUGCAGCUGGUGACACAGCUUAUGCCCUAUGGCUGCCUCUUAGACCAUGUCCGGGAAAACCGCGGACGCCUGGGCUCCCAGGACCUGCUGAACUGGUGUAUGCAGAUUGCCAAGGGGAUGAGCUACCUGGAGGAUGUGCGGCUCGUACACAGGGACUUGGCUGCUCGGAACGUGCUGGUCAAGAGUCCCAACCAUGUCAAAAUUACAGACUUCGGGCUGGCUCGGCUGCUGGACAUUGACGAGACAGAGUACCAUGCAGAUGGGGGCAAGGUUAGGUGAAGGAGCAAGGAGCAGAGGAGGCCGGGUGGAGUGGUGUCUGGCCCGUGGGAGAACUCUGAGUGGCCACCUCCCCACAACACACAGUUGGAGGACUUCCUCUUCUGCCCUCUCAGGUGCCCAUCAAGUGGAUGGCGCUGGAGUCCAUUCUCCGCCGGCGGUUCACCCACCAGAGUGAUGUGUGGAGUUAUGGUGCGUGAUGGGGGGUGUUGGGAGGGGUGGGUGAGGAGCCAUGGCUGGAGGGAGGAUGAGAGCUGGGAUGGGGAGAGUUAUGGGGCCACCUCAGCAUGUGGAGGGAGGGAAGGGGCUGCCUGUGCCCCACCUUGCAGGGUCUGUGCCCUUCCCAGGAUUAGGGAAAGACCGGGUAGGGUCUAUCUCCUGGCAUCACAUCUCCCCCGCCGCCAUGAUGCUAGACUCCUGAGCAGAACCUCUGGCUCAGUACACUAAAGCUCCCUCUGGCCCUCCCACUCCUGACCCUGUCUCUGCCUUAGGUGUGACUGUGUGGGAGCUGAUGACUUUUGGGGCCAAACCUUACGAUGGGAUCCCAGCCCGGGAGAUCCCUGACCUGCUGGAAAAGGGGGAGCGGCUGCCCCAGCCUCCCAUCUGCACCAUUGAUGUCUACAUGAUCAUGGUCAAAUGUGCGUGGCUGAGCUGUGCUGGCUGCCUGGAGGAGGGUGGGAGGUCCUGGGUGGAGGAGCCCACUAGGGGCAUGAAAGGGGACCAGGAUGUAUGUAGACCCAGGAGCCCUGGUAUAUUAGGAGCCUCAAAACCUUCUUGUAUCCCUUUUACGGUCAAAGUCCAAAGCCACUCUUGAGGAACACUCUUGUACAAAACUAAGCUGGGCACAGUGGCUCAUGCCUGUAAUCCCAGUACUUUGGGAGGCUGAGGUGGGAGGAUCUCUUGAAGCCAGGAGUUCAAGACCAGCCUGGGCAACAUAGUGAGAUCCUAUCUCUACAAAGAAUAAAAAAAUUCUCUGGGUGUGGCGGUGCGUGCCUGUAGUCCCAGCUACUCAGGAGAGGCUGAGACAGGAAGAUCACUUGAGCCUAGUUUAAGGUUGCAGUAAGCUAUGAUUGCGCCCCUGAAAUCCAGCCUGGGUGACAGAGCGAAACCUCAUCUCAAAAAAAUUAAAAAGCAAA
rnacentral:sRNA from 1 species